AUUGCAUGCACUCCCUCCAGUACCGAUGUGAGGUUUUUCUGUGUUGGAUCAAAACCAAAUGCUGCUUUAUGUCAACUUCAGGAAGGAAACUGGCAAAUGCAUGAAGUCAGUCUCCAUGGUGCGCUUCCAUUCCAGGGACUGUACGAGAGGAAAAAAAGGUGCUUCAUAUCCCAACCAAAAGUAUUCUCUGUCUGAGGACCAUUGCCCAAGUGUGAAGUAGGAGACUUGUGCAAUUCAAAGGCACCCAUGCGAUGCUCGUGCGAAGCUCUUUUCUCAGCCAGGCACGACAGCAGUGACAUCUCCACCGUGCUUGUCCCACAUCUCCAGAAAGGUGGUUCCAGGUACAAAAGCUCAAGUGGACUGGAGGCUCCCAAAGCUUCUCCCCGUGCCAUCUCCCCACUGGCUGCUGGGUCCAGUGGUGGCCGCCCCUUGGGUACUAGGAACUCCUAGUUCUACAAUGAGAAGCUGCAAGGACCCCCAGAGGCCCAUGGACUGGAGCUGUUAAUGUCCUGCAGAUAAGAGCCACUCUCUCGCUGUGAUCACCAAGGUACCCAGGGCCUCCGGAGGCCACAAAGAAUGGAUAAUUGCAACCCACAGGCCUCCUUCAGAUUUCCUCCAAGCCCUUCUGGUCAGCAAAUACUCUAUGGCAAGUCUGGGGUUUGGUCUUUACUUCUGGUGCCAAUUAACUUCAUCUUCCUUUUCUCUUUGGUCCGUGGAAUUACUCUGCACUCUUUGCAAUGAUGUUUAGUAAUUCUUAUCGACUAUGGAGCAGCCUCCUGGGACCCUGCCAGCUGAUCUUAAAAAGCCACUUACUGCAGGAUUCCCACUGCUUUCCUGGGCUAGGAAUUCCUUAACCAAAGGCAAGUUUCACAGGAGAUCCUUGAGAAGGUGCCUCAUUAUUAAUAUUUUUGUGUUGAAAAUGUUCACUGUGGAAGUUGCUUACAAGGUGGGCCAGUGUGUUUGGGAAGAACAGGGUGGGCCUCGAGCAAACUGGGGGGCGGGGUGGGAUUCAGACUCUACUCCCUCCACCUUUGUCCUUCCCUCUUCUUCUUCUUGCUCACCUUCGGAAACCCCGGGCCCCCUUCCUGGCUGCAGCCCCUCGGGUCUUCUUCAUGCGUUGACACUGAAAGCUCUCUUGUGCUAAUUGCUGACUAGGCAUGAAUGCAUGGCAAUUGUUGGCUUGUUUCCUCUCCUGGAUCACUUUUUCCUCCUUUCAUAUUGGGUAGAGCCUUUCAUGUCUUAACAAGAGGGAGCCGGUCACAUGAGGUUUUGGGUGCACCAGUUGGGUGGGUUCUGAACUUCUGGCCCCCUUCCAAGUCUCAAAGUCUGGUUGACCAUGUGUGUUGGGCCAAGCUGUGCCUGGCUCUGGAACUGCCUCCAAGGAGGGGCAUCAGGCUGUGUGGUGGAGACAGUGACCCCUCCAGCCCCUGCUGCUCCAGCUGCAGCUGCAGAGUGUACAAGGGGAGAGUCUCUGGGGGUCAUGGGGCUCCAAGGGUGUAUUCAGAAAGAUGAGGCACCCUGUGUGAUGCACCUGCACCUAGGCUGAUGGGGACACCUGCAAGGACAGACUGGGGCAUUAAAUAGGUGGAGGGAGCUUUGCUUUAGAAAACACACACUGAGAAAGUGGAAUUUGCCAUCAGGCAGGCUAAGGGGUGUUCCACUUACUACACUUGGAGUCUUUCGCCCAAGAACUGAUGAAACAGUUCAGGAACAAAACCAGCCAGAUACGUUAAGAAGAAUGAUGCUUACCAACAUAGUAUGGGGUUUGAUGUUGACAACGAUUCACUGAUGUGUCCCCAGAUUCCCUAGAUGUAGGGGCAGAACUACCAGGGGAGAGACCAUGCUUCUUUGGAGAGAUUGAAUGGUACUCUCUAGGUCUGGAGCAGCGCUGUCCAGGGAACGUCACACUGGGAAUGUUCUUCCUCUGUGCUGUCCAAGAUGGUAGCUGAGCAUGCAGUGUGGUUAUUGCAACAGAAGAACUGAAUGUUGAUUUCAUUUACUUUUAAUUGAUUUAAAUUUAAAUCUGAAUGCCCGCGUGUGGCUAGUGGCUACAUGGUGGACAGUGCUGUCUAGACCAGUGUGCAGAGGUCAUAGUGGGGGAGGAACAUUGGAGGAAAAUGGAGAGGUGACCCUGGAGAGGUGGUGGGAACAGAUCGAGAGGACCUUGUAAGGUGUGUGAGCAAUUCGAGACUUGUCCCUGGGGAUGACAGGAAGCCACUGAAAGGUCUAAGCAGAUGAAUGAGCACUCAGAUUGAUAGCUUAAAAGACUUGGCUGGGUGCGGUGGCUCAUGCCUGUAAUCCCAGCACUUUGGGAGGCCGAGGCGUGCAGAU